GACGAACGCUGGCGGCGUGCUUAACACAUGCAAGUCGAACGGAAAGGCCCUGCUUUUGUGGGGUGCUCGAGUGGCGGACGGGUGAGUAACACGUGAGUAACCUGCCCUUGACUUUGGGAUAACUUCAGGAAACUGGGGCUAAUACCGGAUAGGAGCUCCUGCUGCAUGGUGGGGGUUGGAAAGUUUCGGCGGUUGGGGAUGGACUCGCGGCUUAUCAGCUUGUUGGUGGGGUAGUGGCUUACCAAGGCUUUGACGGGUAGCCGGCCUGAGAGGGUGACCGGCCACAUUGGGACUGAGAUACGGCCCAGACUCCUACGGGAGGCAGCAGUGGGGAACAUUGCACAAUGGGCGGAAGCCUGAUGCAGCAACGCCGCGUGCGGGAUGACGGCCUUCGGGUUGUAAACCGCUUUCGCCUGUGACGAAGCGUGAGUGACGGUAAUGGGUAAAGAAGCACCGGCUAACUACGUG
rnacentral:rRNA from 1 species